rnacentral:lncRNA from 1 species
ACCAUCUUUUGCUUUUUUUUUCUUUGUUUUUCUGCUAAAGAAUGGCGCAGAAUUCCGAAAACAAAGGCGAUAUUUAAUAUAUGAAACCUGGUAGAUAAGAAAGUGAAUUGUUUUCUCACGAAUAAAUUUUCGUUCUUGUUAUGAAAGAAGACGUUCAGCAGUCACACAUGGUUUAUUAUUAAUACGCAUUCCUUUGUAAAUGCAGGCGUGCAAAAUUCGUAUAGAUGUAAAUUUUCCCGAUCUCUUUUUAAUCGUGGCACACACACAGCAUUGCAGGUUUAUGCUAGACAGAUUUCGCUUUGAAGGGAUGUUACGAAUAAGAAUGAUCACAAAAAUAAUUAAUUGUACUGUUGUGCCACUCAACAAGUGGAUCUACCAGCCUGAAGUGAUAACAGGUGAAGUUCUCCGUCUCAAUUUCGCGCCCGGUUGCACCUAUCGAUCUCUAUUUACGUGUCUUAAACCCAUGCGGUCGGCAUGAGUUACAAGACAACUUAAUUUCUUUUCUACGAUUCGAAACCGUGCAUUUCGUUCCUUAAAUUCGUCAUUUCCUCUCGAGAGAGAGUCGCUAAAUUACUUUCAUUUAUUCCAGAGCACUCCGAUGAUAUACAGUAUAUGUAUACUUUCAGUUUUAAAGCAUCGAUGGUUUAUAAAUAGAAUUUUUGAACUUUUUUCAUGCAAAUAAGGCAUAAAAUCCACUUUUUGGUAUUCUUGCGCUCUUGGAAAUCGCCGGGUCUGAUCAAUAAUUCUCUUAUUGAUUCUCCGAAUCUGCUUGAUUUUUUUUUUUUUUUUUGAGUUAUCUAAAGGAAAG